rnacentral:rRNA from 1 species
GACGAACGCUGGCGGCGUGCUUAAUACAUGCAAGUCAACUUGACUUUAGAUAGCAAUAUCGAAAAGUAGGGUGGCGCACGGGUGCGUAACGCGUAGGUAAUCUGCCCUGAGGUCUGACAUAACCCGUCGAAAGGCGGGCUAACAUCAGAUGAUAUAUAAUCACGACAUCGUGGAAAUAUCAAAUCUUCGGAGCCUUGGGAUGAGCCUGCGUCUGAUUAGGUAGUUGGCGGAGUAAUAGCCCACCAGGCCUACGAUCAGUAGCUGGUCUGAGAGGAUGAUCAGCCACACUGGAACUGAGACACGGUCCAGACUCCUACGGGAGGC